AUUUAUAUAGUAUAAUAUAGUACAUUUUAUUUCCAAUAAUAUAGUUUAAAUUUUUUAAUAUAAAUA
rnacentral:tRNA from 2 species